rnacentral:rRNA from 1 species
GGGGAAUAUUGCACAAUGGGCGCAAGCCUGAUGCAGCGACGCCGCGUGAGGGAUGAAGGCCUUCGGGUUGUAAACCUCUUUCAGUAGGGAAGAAGCCGGCCUUUUGGGUUGGUGACGGUACCUGCAGAAGAAGCGCCGGCUAACUACGUGCCAGCAGCCGCGGUAAUACGUAGGGCGCAAGCGUUAUCCGGAAUUAUUGGGCGUAAAGAGCUCGUAGGCGGUUUGUCGCGUCUGCCGUGAAAGUCCGGGGCUCAACCCCGGGUCUGCAGUGGGUACGGGCAGGCUGGAGUGCAGUAGGGGAGACUGGAAUUCCUGGUGUAGCGGUGAAAUGCGCAGAUAUCAGGAGGAACACCGAUGGCGAAGGCAGGUCUCUGGGCUGUAACUGACGCUGAGGAGCGAAAGCAUGGGGAGCGAAC